rnacentral:rRNA from 1 species
CCUACGGGGGGCAGCAGUGGGGAAUAUUGCACAAUGGGCGAAAGCCUGAUGCAGCAACGCCGCGUGAAGGAAGAAGGUCUUCGGAUCGUAAACUUCUGUCCUUGGGGAAGAUAAUGACGGUACCCUUGGAGGAAGCCCCGGCUAACUACGUGCCAGCAGCCGCGGUAAUACGUAGGGGGCAAGCGUUAUCCGGAAUUAUUGGGCGUAAAGAGUGCGUAGGUGGUUACUUAAGCGCGGGGUUUAAGGCAAUGGCUCAACCAUUGUUCGCCCUGCGAACUGGGUUACUUGAGUGCAGGAGAGGAAAG